rnacentral:rRNA from 1 species
GAACCGCCUUCGGGUGGGGAGGAGUGGCGAACGGGUGAGUAACACGUGGGCAAUCUGCCCUGCACUCUGGGAUAACUCCGGGAAACCGGAGCUAAUACCGGAUACGACUCUCCAGGGCAUCCUGGGGGGUGGAAAGCUCCGGCGGUGCAGGAUGAGCCCGCGGCCUAUCAGCUGGUUGGUGGGGUGAUGGCCUACCAAGGCGACGACGGGUAGCCGGCCUGAGAGGGCGACCGGCCACACUGGGACUGAGACACGGCCCAGACUCCUACGGGAGGCAGCAGUGGGGAAUAUUGCACAAUGGGCGCAAGCCUGAUGCAGCGACGCCGCGUGAGGGAUGACGGCCUUCGGGUUGUAAACCUCUUUCAGCAGGGAAGAAGCGUGAGUGACGGUACCUGCAGAAGAAGCACCGGCUAACUACGUGCCAGCAGCCGCGGUAAUACGUAGGGUGCGAGCGUUGUCCGGAAUUAUUGGGCGUAAAGAGCUCGUAGGCGGCUUGUCGCGUCGGAUGUGAAAGCCCGGGGCUUAACCCCGGGUCUGCAUUCGAUACGGGCAGGCUAGAGUUCGGUAGGGGAGAUCGGAAUUCCUGGUGUAGCGGUGAAAUGCGCAGAUAUCAGGAGGAACACCGGUGGCGAAGGCGGAUCUCUGGGCCGAUACUGACGCUGAGGAGCGAAAGCGUGGGGAGCGAACAGGAUUAGAUACCCUGGUAGUCCACGCCGUAAACGUUGGGCACUAGGUGUGGGCGGCAUUCCACGUCGUCCGUGCCGCAGCUAACGCAUUAAGUGCCCCGCCUGGGGGAGUACGGCCGCAAGGCUAAAACUCNAAGGAAUUGACGGGGGCCCGCACAAGCGGCGGAGCAUGUGGCUUAAUUCGACGCAACGCGAAGAACCUUACCAAGGCUUGACAUACACCGGAAACACGUGGAGACGCGUGCCCCCUUGUGGUCGGUGNUACAGGUGGUGCAUGGCUGUCGUCAGCUCGUGUCGUGNAGAUGUUGGGUUAAGNUCCCNGCAACGAGCGCAACCCUUGUUCUGUGUUGCCAGCGUGCCUUUCGGGGUGACGGGGACUCACAGGAGACUGCCGGGGUCAACUCGGAGGAAGGUGGGGACGACGUCAAGUCAUCAUGCCCCUUAUGUCUUGGGCUGCACACGUGCUACAAUGGCCGGUACAAUGAGCUGCGAUGCCGCGAGGUGGAGCGAAUCUCAAAAAGCCGGUCUCAGUUCGGAUUGGGGUCUGCAACUCGACCCCAUGAAGUCGGAGUCGCUAGUAAUCGCAGAUCAGCACUGCUGCGGUGAAUACGUUCCCGGGCCUUGUACACACCGCCCGUCACGUCACGAAAGUCGGUAACACCCGAAGCCGGUGGCCC